rnacentral:rRNA from 1 species
GACAGAGGGUGCAAACGUUGUUCGGAAUUACUGGGCGUAAAGCGAGUGUAGGCGGUUUGGAUAGUCGGAUGUGAAAGCCCCGGGCUCAACCCGGGAAGUGCAUUCGAUACUCCCAAGCUAGAGUAUCGGAGAGGUUGGUGGAAUUCUCGGUGUAGAGGUGAAAUUCGUAGAUAUCUGGAGGAACACCGGUGGCGAAGGCGGCAUCCUGGACCAAUACUGACGCUGAGGAGCGAAAGCCAGGGGAGCAAACGGG